ensembl:lncRNA
GCCCAGGCAGGCAACUCUGCUCGCUGCACGCUUUGCUGGAUGGAUGAGACCUGGCACUUCCAAUUAGGGCACUCACACAAAGCAUGGCUGGCUGUGGCAUUGCCAUGCAGCCCAGCUCCUAGGGCAGCUAGCUCCGACAGCGCUGUUUGCCUGGGAUGGCAACUUCAAGUCAUCCCAAAGAUAAUUUGGAAUCCCUUGUCAUCUCAAAGUAGUCCAUUAUCUGGGAAAGGGAUGGAGAGUGCUGUGAUACUGAAACUAUUUUCCUGACUGCUGUUCUGGCCCACUGUCAUUUCAUACCUAUUGACCAAUCAGAUAUUAGAAGUAUUAAAAGCUACAGCACUGAAAGCUGAAAAGAGUAAAG